UACGUAGGGUGCAAGCGUUAAUCGGAAUUACUGGGCGUAAAGCGUGCGCAGGCGGUUUUGUAAGACCGAUGUGAAAUGCCCGGGCUUAACCUGGGAACUGCAUUUGUGACUGCAAGGCUAGAGUGUGUCAGAGGGGGGUAGAAUUCCACGUGUAGCAGUGAAAUGCGUAGAUAUGUGGAGGAAUACCGAUGGCGAAGGCAGCCCCCUGGGAUAACACUGACGCUCAUGCACGAAAGCGUGGGGAGCAAACAGG
rnacentral:rRNA from 1 species